GGGGUGAGGACAGUGCCUGGUGGGUAGUUUGACUGGGGCGGUCUCCUCCCAAAGAGUAACGGAGGAGCACGAAGGUGGGCUAAUCACGGUUGGACAUCGUGAGGUUAGUGCAAUGGCAUAAGCCCGCUUAACUGCGAGAAUGACGGUUCGAGCAGGUGCGAAAGCAGGUCAUAGUGAUCCGGUGGUUCUGUAUGGAAGGGCCAUCGCUCAACGGAUAAAAGGUACUCCGGGGAUAACAGGCUGAUACCGCCCAAGAGUUCAUAUCGACGGCGGUGUUUGGCACCUCGAUGUCGGCUCAUCACAUCCUGGGGCUGAAGUCGGUCCCAAGGGUAUGGCUGUUCGCCAUUUAAAGUGGUACGCGAGCUGGGUUUAGAACGUCGUGAGACAGUUCGGUCCCUAUCUGCCGUGGGCGUUGGAAGAUUGAAGGGGGCUGCUCCUAGUACGAGAGGACCGGAGUGGACGAACCUCUGGUGUUCGGGUUGUGUCGCCAGACGCAUUGCCCGGUAGCUAAGUUCGGAAUUGAUAAGCGCUGAAAGCAUCUAAGCGCGAAGCGAGCCCUGAGAUGAGUCUUCCCUGAUACUUUAAGUAUCCUAAAGGGUUGUUCGAGACUAGAACGUUGAUAGGCAGGGUGUGUAAGCGUUGUGAGGCGUUGAGCUAACCUGUACUAAUUGCCCGUGAGGCUUAACCAUACAACACCCAAGGGGUUUUGUA
rnacentral:rRNA from 1 species